GACGAACGCUGGCGGCGUGCUUAACACAUGCAAGUCGAACGGUAAGGCCCUUCGGGGUACACGAGUGGCGAACGGGUGAGUAACACGUGGGUGAUCUGCCCUGCACUUCGGGAUAAGCCUGGGAAACUGGGUCUAAUACCGGAUAGGACCCUGGGAUGCAUGUCCUGGGGUGGAAAGCUUUUGCGGUGUGGGAUGGGCCCGCGGCCUAUCAGCUUGUUGGUGGGGUGAUGGCCUACCAAGGCGACGACGGGUAGCCGGCCUGAGAGGGUGACCGGCCACACUGGGACUGAGAUACGGCCCAGACUCCUACGGGAGGCAGCAGUGGGGAAUAUUGCAUAAUGGGCGCAAGCCUGAUGCAGCGACGCCGCGUGAGGGAUGACGGCCUUCGGGUUGUAAACCUCUUUCAGCACCGACGAAGCGCAAGUGACGGUAGGUGCAGAAGAAGGACCGGCCAACUACGUGCCAGCCGCCGCGAUAA
rnacentral:rRNA from 1 species